GGGCUCGCCGGCCAUCCGAUGGCUGGAUUGGGCACCGGCCUUCUAAGCCGGCGGUUACAGGUUCGAUUUCUGUCGAGCGUGCCA
rnacentral:tRNA from 1 species